rnacentral:rRNA from 1 species
GACGAACGCUGGCGGCGUGCUUAACACAUGCAAGUCGAGCGGAAAGGCCCUUCGGGGUACUCGAGCGGCGAACGGGUGAGUAACACGUGAGUAACCUGCCCCAGACUUUGGGAUAACCCUCGGAAACGGGGGCUAAUACCGGAUACGACACAGCUUCGCAUGGGGUCUGUGUGGAAAGUUUUUCGGUUUGGGAUGGGCUCGCGGCCUAUCAGCUUGUUGGUGGGGUGGUGGCCUACCAAGGCGACGACGGGUAGCCGGCCUGAGAGGGCGACCGGCCACACUGGGACUGAGACACGGCCCAGACUCCUACGGGAGGCAGCAGUGGGGAAUAUUGCACAAUGGGCGGAAGCCUGAUGCAGCGACGCCGCGUGAGGGAUGACGGCCUUCGGGUUGUAAACCUCUUUCAGCAGGGACGAAGCGUAAGUGACGGUACCUGCAGAAGAAGCGCCGGCCAACUACGUG